CCAGAUAAUUCUUUGAUUGGGGAGUUUGUCUGCGUAUCAUAGGAUGUUUAACAGCCUUUCUGGCCUCUAACUACCAGAUGCCCUUAUGCAGUACCCUGCCCUGUGUGUUCUAUCUCUCUUUUUUUUUGAGACUGAAUCUCACUCUGUCACCCAGGCUGGAGUGCAGACAUUUUAAUAUAUAAUUAUAGCCAUUCUGAUGGGUGUAAGAUGAUAUCUCAUUUUGAUUUUGAUUUGUAUUUCUCUAAUAAUCAGUGAUGUUGAACUUUUUUACAUAUGAUUGUUGGCUGCACAGAUGUUUUCAUUUGAGAUGUGUCUGUUCAUGUCCUUUGCCCACUUUUAAAUGGGUUUGGUUUUUUUCUUGUAAAUUUGUUUAAGUUCCUUUUGGA
rnacentral:lncRNA from 1 species